ACUGAGACCCAUGCUGGCCCUGACCAAGCAGCACCCACUCCUCUCUUGGGUCUUGCUCCCUCCCAGGGGCACUGCUGAGAAGCUGGACACAGAUCUCCUUUGCUCUAGGGACCCAUCAAACUUACCUCUGCUAGUCUGGGAAAUGUUUGUUCAGCAGCUGUGAUUUUGGUGUGUUCCUGAAAGGAGGUGUGGUCAAAGUCCAUCUCCUCUGUCGUCUUGGCCUCUCUCCCACCUCAACAACAGUUUUAAAACAUUUGUGCCAAGAGCUGCAAAAAUAAAGGUCCAAAACUCGGUGUUGAAAAAGAAGGGGGAAAGUCACACAGGUGUCAGAACUUGCAGGGACUCAGCAGGUCCCGCUGCUGGAAUGGGGCUGAUGAAGUCUUUGGAAAGUUUUUGGCUCUUCAUGGCUGCCAACUCUGAGUUGUCAGCAAAGCCUUGGGUGGAGACCCGAGGUCGUUUUUGACGGUCAAGGCCAGCAUCAGGAAAAAGGGAAAGGUCAAAGCCAAGCCCCCAGCCACCCCUGGGGUCCAACCGUAAAGGAAUUCCUCGUUCGAGUGGUGCCCAGAUCUCUGUGUUCCUGAGUCACUGCCUGGAGGUGAACGGAGAGGCCAGAAAAGACUCUUCAGAGUACAGCCUCCUGUUGCUCCUGCAGCCAGCGCGCAGGGAUGCACGUGUGUGCAGCUCACCGCUCUGCACUUGGGUGCCAAUCAUUUGUUUUUUAAGAAGGUCCCCGUGGAAGAUAACAAACCCCCGAAUGAAGUCGACAAGCUUUGGCAUAGCUCAGACUUAGACUGAGGAAAGGAAGUGAAACUGACAAGAUGAGGGUUGCUGUAAACUUCAGGGCAGAAUGGAGUAACAUCUUAAUCAGUGGACAACACUUCUUCCACAGCCCUCGUUUUUAUUAAGGAAUGACAGUGGCACUAAAAGCAUCCCCCGCCUAGCACGAUCUGGAGUGAGAACCUCGCCACCUCUGUUCUUGCUUUCCCAUUCAUUAGGACCCUUUCCGAGCCUCCUUCCCCAGCAAAAACCGGGGAAUGCUUCGCGUGGUUACAAAAGGAGGGAGCGGCCGGCUUCCUAGCCUCACGCCUCAGAGAGUCAAGAACGUGCAGAUCUUUUGUCCCCGACCCCUUCCGCGGCUUGGUCGCGGGGGUGACGACC
ensembl:lncRNA